CGCUGGCGGCGUGCCUAACACAUGCAAGUCGAACGAGAACAUUUGGAUUGAGACUUCGGUUGAUUGAAGUUUGUCUUAGUGGCGGACGGGCGAGUAACGCGUGAGCAACCUGCCCUUCAGUGGGGAACAACAGCCGGAAACAGCUGCUAAUACCGCAUAACGUGCAACCGGGGCAUCCCGGAUGCACCAAAGGAUUUAUUCGCUGAAGGAUGGGCUCGCGUCCGAUUAGAUAGUUGGUGGGGUAACGGCCUACCAAGUCGACGAUCGGUAGCCGAACUGAGAGGUUGAUCGGCCGCAUUGGGACUGAGACACGGCCCAGACUCCUACGGGAGGCAGCAGUGGGGGAUAUUGCACAAUGGGGGAAACCCUGACCCAGCAACGCCGCGUGAAGGAAGAAGGCUUUCGGGUUGUAAACUUCUUUUACCAGGGACGAAGACGUGACGGUACCUGGAGAAAAAGCCACGGCUAACUACGUG
rnacentral:rRNA from 1 species